rnacentral:rRNA from 1 species
UGCAAAAAACACAUCACCCUGCAGUUCUCACUUGGUGUCCCACUGAAGCUAAGUAGGGUUGAGUCUGGCCAGUACCUGGAUGGGAGAUCACCUGGGGGAAAACUAAGAUUCCUGCUA